UCCCCCCCACCAUUCUUAUCUAGGGCCCCCACCCACUGUUCAGGGGUGGGGGUUAGGGGGGAGGACAGUAGAUCCCCCCUAUCUUUAUUUAGGGCCCCCACCCACUGCUCAGGGGUGGGGGCCAGGGGGAGAGGACAGU